CAGCAGCAGCCACGGUAAUACGAAGGGUGCAAGCGUUAAUCGGAAUUACUGGGCGUAAAGCGUGCGUAGGCGGUUUGUUAAGUCUGUUGUGAAAUCCCCGGGCUCAACCUGGGAAUGGCAAUGGAUACUGGCAAGCUAGAGUGUGUCAGAGGAUGGUGGAAUUCCCGGUGUAGCGGUGAAAUGCGUAGAGAUCGGGAGGAACAUCAGUGGCGAAGGCGGCCAUCUGGGACAACACUGACGCUGAGGCACGAAAGCGUGGGGAGCAAACAGGAUUAGAUACCCCGGUAGUCCCUGUCUCUUAUAC
rnacentral:rRNA from 1 species